AUUGAACGCUGGCGGCAUGCUUUACACAUGCAAGUCGAACGGUAACAGGGAGCUUGCUCCGCUGACGAGUGGCGAACGGGUGAGUAAUGCGUCGGAACGUGCCGAGUAGUGGGGGAUAACGCAUCGAAAGGUGUGCUAAUACCGCAUACGUACUGAGGUAGAAAGUGGGUGACCUUCGGGCCUCACGCUAUUCGAGCGGCCGACGUCUGAUUAGCUAGUUGGUGCGGUAAAGGCUCACCAAGGCGACGAUCAGUAGCGGGUCUGAGAGGAUGAUCCGCCACACGGGGACUGAGACACGGCCCAGACUACGACGGGAGGCAGAAGUGGGGAAUUUUGGACAAUGGGCGCAAGCCUGAUCCAGCCAUGCCGCGUGCGGGAAGAAGGCCUUCGGGUUGUAAACCGCUUUUGUCAGGGAAGAAACGAGUUUCUCUAAUACAGAGACUUAAUGACGGUACCUGAAGAAUAAGCACCGGCUAACUACGUGCCAGCCGCCGCCGUAAGAC
rnacentral:rRNA from 1 species